rnacentral:rRNA from 1 species
CAGGCCUAACACAUGCAAGUCGAGCGGUAACAGAGAGUAGCUUGCUACUUUGCUGACGAGCGGCGGACGGGUGAGUAAUGCUUGGGAAUAUGCCUUAUGGUGGGGGACAACAGUUGGAAACGACUGCUAAUACCGCAUGAUGUCUACGGACCAAAGUGGGGGACCUUCGGGCCUCACGCCAUAAGAUUAGCCCAAGUGGGAUUAGCUAGUUGGUGAGGUAAUGGCUCACCAAGGCGACGAUCCCUAGCUGGUUUGAGAGGAUGAUCAGCCACACUGGGACUGAGACACGGCCCAGACUCCUACGGGAGGCAGCAGUGGGGAAUAUUGCACAAUGGGCGCAAGCCUGAUGCAGCCAUGCCGCGUGUGUGAAGAAGGCCUUCGGGUUGUAAAGCACUUUCAGUAAGGAGGAAAGGUUAAGUGUUAAUAGCGCUUAGCUGUGACGUUACUUACAGAAGAAGCACCGGCUAACUCCGUGCCAGCAGCCGCGGUAAUACGGAGGGUGCGAGCGUUAAUCGGAAUUACUGGGCGUAAAGCGUACGCAGGCGGUUUGUUAAGCGAGAUGUGAAAGCCCCGGGCUCAACCUGGGAACUGCAUUUCGAACUGGCAAACUAGAGUGUGAUAGAGGGUGGUAGAAUUUCAGGUGUAGCGG